CCUGAGAAACCUAAAAGUUCGAAAAGAGAGAUUCAACGUCAGCAUGUGCAAUAUUCACGUGGGUAGUGAUGUGUAUACAUUUCCAUGUUAUUUUAUUGUUGUACUAUUGUCGGCGUGCACUUCUCUCUUAGUAGGACGUCCCGACCCGUUGAGUCUUGGCCUACGGCUCAGACUUUAGUAAUUAAUUUUACUAAAGACCUCUGGUACUAAAGACCUCUGGUGUACUCCUGGCUAAGUGCUCGACGGGGUAUUAAGCCGCAUUUUAUUAUGCGUCUAUGCGUCUGGCCUUUCGCAAGUUUUUGACAGUCUGUAUAAUCAUAGACUCUGUGCUAUGUGUACGGAUUGUGCUCUUAGACUGUGCUUAUAUACCUGUCAGGGACGCUUAGGCUUUGGGUACUCUCAGGACCCGUCUUGAAACACGGACCAAGGAGUCUAACAUGUAUGCGAGUCAUUGGGUAUAUAUUUUCCAAACCUAAAGGCGAAAUGAAAGUAAAGGUUGUA
rnacentral:rRNA from 1 species